GUAGGGGAAGGUUCCAUCCUUAAACAUUAGAGUUUUUGUUUUUGAAGUGGUCUCAAGCACAUCAGUCAGGUUUCCAACUUCCUAUGUAGAAGAGAGUGAUUUAGAACUCCUUUAUCUCCUACCUCCCAAAGAGGCACAGGCAUGUACAAACACACACUUAUGUAAUGCUGAUGACCAAACUCAGGGCCUUGAACAUAUUAGGCAAGCAUUCUCCCAACUGAACUGUAUCCCCAGCCUGAAAAGCACUUUUCUUAAACUUCAUUGUGUACCUGAGUCCCCAGAGAGACUUGUUAGCACACAGGCUGCCUAGCUAACCCCCAGGGUUUCUGAUCUAGUAGGUCUGGGUAGAACCUGAGAAUUUUUGCAGCAGAUUACAGCUGCUGGUGGUAAGAUUACAGUUUGAGACUCACUGCCUUAAAAUCUUCCUUGCAAUUAGGGGAAUGAGUAUUUCUGUUGUGGGAAUAUGUUCUCUUAUUGGGAGUAUGAUUUAAUUCCUACUCUUGAUAUCUCGAUACCCGUAGUCUCUCAUUAAUAUCCAGGUGUUUAUCAAAGCUGACAACAUCCAAAUCCCAGUCCUCAGUCUUUCCUCCCUGUUUGUCUCAGCCCCUUGGUUCUGGCUGCCCUCCGAGGUGCCCAUGCACCCUCGCCUGUUCUCUGNNNNNNNNNNNNNNGCCACUCCAUAUUUUCAUUCACAGGUUUCUCCUCAGCCCAUUCUUUCUCCAAAACCUGCCUGUUCUGCAUGGUGUUCUUUGAUCCUCUCACAGUCCUGAUGCUCGCGACCAGGAACACCUGCUCCAAGCUGCUGUGACAUUCACAUUCAGACCCUUACUUGGAAGGCUACCCUCUCUAGUAUCUGGCCAGGUGCAAACUGUUGGGGAAUCAAGGGGAUCUCUCUCUCCCUUCCUCUCCCCAAAAGUUUUUGGUACACCAUUCCCAACUUUUUUUCACAACUUCAUUUGCUCUUGAGACAUCACAAUCCCUGACUGCCUAACAAUCUGGUCUCAACCUCUCCCACACCCCUGUAACUCACCUUGACAUUUCCUGCUGUUGUUAGCUUCUGAUGGCUUCUCACAUUUAUAGUCCGUGUGAGCCUCAGAAAGGCAAGUUUUGUGCAGUUCCAACCUUCUCCUACUUGAACGAAUCGGGAGUGGGUGCUUUUUUGUUUUGUUUUGUUUUGUUUUUCUAUAAAAGCAGGACAGAGAGAUUUCUCAUUAUUCCAGGGAAACAUCCCCUCACUAGUACAAGAGUACAUUUGCAAACCAGCCUUUCAAAGAGCUAUUUCAAAAGCAAUAAGCAAGUGGUUCCAUGGUGAGGAUUACAAACACACCCUCAGGGUCAGUCAAGGGUGAGGAGGACAGUUCUACUAUGACAAGACACAUUGGGCCAGACUCCGUGGGAGAGUGUCAGACAUACAUCUUUAAAGUGCUGUAUCACAAACAGCUUAGAUGCAAGCAAAGGAGAGCUACUUAAAGAAACUAGGUGUAGAUAUCAUGAAGGUGUUGAUUCAAAAGAUGCUUGUGGAGAAUUUGAAGCUAAUUGUUAACUUAAUGUGAGAAUGGGGAAAANNNNNNNNNNNNNNNNNNNNNNNNNNNNNNNNNNNNNNNNNNNNNNNNNNNNNNNNNNNNNNNNNNNNNNNNNNNNNNNAUUUUUAUUAUUAUUUAUUUAUUUAUUUAUUAUUAUUAUAACACUAGGUGACUAGUCUGAGGUGUGGUGGCACAUGCCUUGAAUCUCAGCACUUAGGAGGCAGAGGCAUGUAGAUCUCUAUGAGUUUGAGGCCAGCCUGGUCUACAUAGUGAGUUCCAGAAUAGGCCAGAACUACAUAGUGAGACCCUGACUUGGAAACAAGCAAGCAGACCAACAAAGCAACAAAAUACUAGAUAAGCUAAUAGAUAACAUAAGGAAAGAUGUGAGAAACUUAAUAUUUUAGCAUUCAGAUUUCAGAGAUAGAGAUCAUUCUGGAUUGUGCCUUCUUUGUGUUUUUUUUUUUUUUAAUGAGCUCUAGAAGAAGCUUAACUAUCAAUGUGUAAAAUCUGAUGUUACAGUUAUAAUGUAUGCACCUAGCUUAUUAUUUAAUGUGUAUCUUACAUGUAUUCUGUUAUUGUUAUGGUAUAUUUUGCUAGGCUGAUUACAGGUGUUGGUGGAAUCACUCAGAUAUAUAAACAAGAAGGAAC
ensembl:lincRNA A530017D24Rik RIKEN cDNA A530017D24 gene